GUGAACGCUGGCGGUAGGCCUAACACCUGCCAGUCGAACGGCAGCACCGUAAGAGCUUGCUCUUACGGGUGGCGAGUGGCGGACGGGUGAGGAAUACAUCGGAAUCUACUUUUUCGUGGGGGAUAACGUAGGGAAACUUACGCUAAUACCGCAUACGACCUACGGGUGAAAGCAGGGGAUCUUCGGACCUUGCGCGAUUGAAUGAGCCGAUGUCGGAUUAGCUAGUUGGCGGGGUAAAGGCCCACCAAGGCGACGAUCCGUAGCUGGUCUGAGAGGAUGAUCAGCCACACUGGAACUGAGACACGGUCCAGACUCCUACGGGAGGCAGCAGUGGGGAAUAUUGGACAAUGGGCGCAAGCCUGAUCCAGCCAUACCGCGUGGGUGAAGAAGGCCUUCGGGUUGUAAAGCCCUUUUGUUGGGAAAGAAAAGCAGCAGGUUAAUACCCCGCUGUUCUGACGGUACCCAAAGAAUAAGCGCCGGCUAACUUCGUG
rnacentral:rRNA from 1 species